AAUAGAUACCCCGGUAGUCCACGCUGUAAACGUUGGACACUAGGUGUGGCGGUCUGAUCAACGACUGCCGUGCCGAAGCUAACGCAUUAAGUGUCCCGCCUGGGGAGUACGGCCGCAAGGCUAAAACUCAAAGGAAUUGACGGGUCCCCGCACAAGCGGCGGAGCAUGCGGCUUAAUUCGAUGCAACCCGAAGAACCUUACCUGGGUUUGACAUCAUGAGAAAAGCCGUGGAAACACGGUGUCCGUAAGGGCCCAUGACAGGUGGUGCAUGGCUGUCGUCAGCUCGUGUCGUGAGAUGUUGGGUUAAGUCCCGCAACGAGCGCAACCCUUGUCCUAUGUUGCCAGCGGUUCGGCCGGGGACUCAUAGGAGACUGCCGGGGGAUAACUCGGAGGAAGGUGAGGACGAUGGUCAAGUCAUCAUGCCCCUUAUAUCCAGGGCUGCACGCAUGCUACAAUGGUCGGUACAACGGGCAGCGAUCCUGCGAAGGUGAGCGAAUCCCACAAAGCCGGCCUCAGUUCGGAUUGG
rnacentral:rRNA from 1 species